AACGAACGCUGGCGGCAUGCCUAACACAUGCAAGUCGAACGAGACCUUCGGGUCUAGUGGCGCACGGGUGCGUAACGCGUGGGAACCUGCCCUUAGGUUCGGAAUAACUCCCCGAAAGGGGUGCUAAUACCGGAUAAUGUCUUCGGACCAAAGAUUUAUCGCCUUUGGAUGGGCCCGCGUUGGAUUAGCUAGUUGGUAGGGUAAAAGCCUACCAAGGCGACGAUCCAUAGCUGGUCUGAGAGGAUGAUCAGCCACACUGGGACUGAGACACGGCCCAGACUCCUACGGGAGGCAGCAGUGGGGAAUAUUGGACAAUGGGCGAAAGCCUGAUACAGCAAUGCCGCGUGAGUGAUGAAGGCCUUAGGGUUGUAAAGCUCUUAUACCCGGGAUGAUAAUGACAGUACCGGGAGAAUAAGCUCCGGCUAACUCCGUG
rnacentral:rRNA from 1 species